CCAGACAGCCAGGAUGUUGGCUUAGAAGCAGCCAUCAUUUAAAGAAAGCGUAAUAGCUCACUGGUCGAGUCGGCCUGCGCGGAAGAUGUAACGGGGCUAAACCAUGCACCGAAGCUGCGGCAGCGACACUGUGUGUUGUUGGGUAGGGGAGCGUUCUGUAAGCCUGCGAAGGUGGCCUGUGAGGGUUGCUGGAGGUAUCAGAAGUGCGAAUGCUGACAUAAGUAACGAUAAAGCGGGUGAAAAGCCCGCUCGCCGGAAGACCAAGGGUUCCUGUCCAACGUUAAUCGGGGCAGGGUGAGUCGACCCCUAAGGC
rnacentral:rRNA from 1 species